rnacentral:rRNA from 1 species
UACGGGGGGAGCAAGCGUUGUUCGGAUUUACUGGGCGUAAAGGGCGCGUAGGCGGCCACCGCAAGUCGACUGUGAAAUCUCCGGGCUUAACCCGGAAAGUGCAGAGGGGACUGUUCAGCUAGAGGAUGGGAGAGGAGCGCGGAAUUCCCGGUGUAGCGGUGAAAUGCGUAGAGAUCGGGAGGAAGGCCGGUGGCGAAGGCGGCGCUCUGGAACAUUUCUGACGCUGAGGCUCGAAAGCGUGGGGAGCAAACAGG